rnacentral:rRNA from 1 species
AACUUUUAACAAUGGAUCUCUUGGCUCUCAUAUCGAUGAAGAACACAGUGAAAUGUGAUAAGUAAUGUGAAUUGCAGAAUUCAGUGAAUCAUUGAAUCUUUGAACGCACCUUGCACCUUUUGGUAUUCCAAAAGGUAUGCCUGUUUGAGUGUCAUG